UGAUCCUGGCUCAGAUUGAACGCUGGCGGCAGGCCUAACACAUGCAAGUCGAGCGGUAGCGGGAAGAGCUUGCUCUUUGCCGACGAGCGGCGGACGGGUGCGUAACACGUAGGAAUCUGCCCGGUAGUGGGGGAUAGCCCGGAGAAAUCCGGAUUAAUACCGCAUACGCCCUAAGGGGGAAAGCAGGGGAUCUUCGGACCUUGCGCUAUCGGAUGAGCCUGCGUCGGAUUAGCUUGUUGGUGGGGUAAAAGGCCUACCAAGGCGACGAUCCGUAGCUGGUCUGAGAGGAUGAUCAGCCACACUGGGACUGAGACACGGCCCAGACUCCUACGGGAGGCAGCAGA
rnacentral:rRNA from 1 species